rnacentral:rRNA from 1 species
AUCGAACGCUGGCGGAAUGCUUUACACAUGCAAGUCGAACGGCAGCACGGACUUCGGUCUGGUGGCGAGUGGCGAACGGGUGAGUAAUGUAUCGGAACGUGCCCAGUCGUGGGGGAUAACGUAGUGAAAAUUACGCUAAUACCGCAUACGAUCUAUGGAUGAAAGCGGGGGAUCGCAAGACCUCGCGCGAUUGGAGCGGCCGAUAUCAGAUUAGGUAGUUGGUGGGGUAAAGGCCCACCAAGCCAGCGAUCUGUAGCUGGUCUGAGAGGAGGACCAGCCACAAUGGAACUGAGACACGGUCCAGACUCCUACGGGAGGCAGCAGUGGGGAAUUUUGGACAAUGGGCGAAAGCCUGAUCCAGCCAUUCCGCGUGCAGGAUGAAGGCCCUCGGGUUGUAAACUGCUUUUGUACAGAACGAAAAGGUUUCUACUAAUACUAGGAGCUCAUGACGGUACUGUAAGAAUAAGCACCGGCUAACUACGUGCCAGCCGCCGCAGUAA